rnacentral:rRNA from 1 species
GACGAACGCUGGCUUUGUUUUUGCCUAAUACAUGCAAGUCGAGCGAGCGGAACCAACAGAUUUACUUCGGUAAUGACGUUGGGAAAGCGAGCGGCGGAUGGGUGAGUAACACGUGGGGAACCUGCCCCUAAGUCUGGGAUACCAUUUGGAAACAGGUGCUAAUACCGGAUAAUAAAGCAGAUCGCAUGAUCAGCUUUUGAAAGGCGGCGUAAGCUGUCGCUAAGGGAUGGCCCCGCGGUGCAUUAGCUAGUUGGUAAGGUAACGGCUUACCAAGGCGACGAUGCAUAGCCGAGUUGAGAGACUGAUCGGACACAUUGGGCCUGAGACACGGCCCAAACUCCUACGGGAGGCAGCAGUAGGGAAUCUUCCAAAAUGGACGCAAGUCUGAUGGAGCAACGCCGCGUGAGAGAAGAAGGUUUUCGGAUCGUAAAGCUCUGUUGAUGGUGAAGAAGGAUAGAGGUAGUAACUGACACUUUAUUUGACGGUAAUCAAACAAAAAGUCACGGCCAACUAA